rnacentral:rRNA from 1 species
CCCUUAGAUGUUCUGGGCCGCACGCGCGCUACACUGAUGCAUUCAACAAGCCUAGCCUUGACCGAGAGGUCCGGGUAAUCUUUGAAACUGCAUCGUGAUGGGGCUAGAUUAUUGCAAUUAUUAAUCUUCAACGAGGAGUGCCUAGUAAGCGUGAUUCAUCAAAUCGCGUUGAUUACGUCCCUGCCCUUUGUACACACCGCCCGUCGCUCCUACCGAUUGAAUGUGUUGGUGAGGAGCUCGGAUUGGUUUAGAGAAGGGGGCAACUCCAUCUUGGAACCGAGAAGCUAGUCAAACUUGGUCAUUUAGAGGAAGUAAAAGUCGUAACA